AUUCACCACUGCUGAGCAGAACAGUCAGGGUGCUGCCCUCAGGGAGUUACCAUGUAGUAAAGGAGACAGAUGGAAUCACACAGAGGAAUGCACGUCUGAUUGUAGCCUGACUGGAGUGCCAUGAAGGAGACCAAGAGGGCAGGGUGAUGGAGAAAGCACAGGAUGAAGUUCUCGUCUUCCUUCCAACAGAAUCUCAGUUGCACUCAGUUGUUGCCCCCCUCGAACCUCCCUUGAGCCUCAGGAGAAACCACCCUGAUUCAGAGGUCCAGAGAAGACCUGACUAGCCCAAGGUAAUUCCGUCCCCUUGCCAGAGUGGCUUGGGCAGGGACACGGGACCUAUUUCAAUGAGGCCAAUGAGACAAAGGUAUUUCUGCUGGGGAGGCAGGGGCUUCAAGCAAAGGGUCUUGCUUGAAAGAGCCACCGGAAGAGGGCUCUCUCCUUCCUUAGGGUGUCACCGUGUCUGGAUGCGAUGCCUGGAAGUGCUACAGCCACUCGCGCCCAGCCUGAAGAUGAAACCAACCCCAAACACAGCCAAGCAGAGAGAUGGAAAGAACUAGGACCCUAAUUACACCACUGAGCAGCUAUAGCAACCAGUUCCAGAGCCCUCUGACUUCCCGCCAAAGUGAGAUGAUAAGAUACUGUUUAAUUUCUCUCUUUUAUAGCCAAACACACCAAAAUUGACACAGAGAUGUGAGCCAUACCUACUACUGUUACUGCUCCAUCCCUAGCUCCAACCACAGUGCAUGGUACAUGGUAGAGAGCCAACAAACACUUGAAGAAUGAAUGGUGCAUAUUGAGUGGGAUUUUCCAGAGGCAGACCUGGAGACAAGGCUUCAAGUGCGUGUGUUGUAUUAAGGAAAUGCUCCCAGGGGACAAUAGCAGAGUGGCAGAAAUGGGACAAGGGGGCCAGGGAGCCAAGAACAGAGAAUCAAUCGUCUAAACAGAGCCCCCUGUUUUUUGUUUCACCUGGGAGUAGCUUCUACCUGAUCCCCAGGGGAACUCUGGGAUGUCAGUGACGGCUCAGCAUUGCCCCUGAGGCAAGGGAGCUGGGCUUUCCUAAUCCCCCACUCCUCAGUCUCUGGCUAAGCGCUGUCCCCAGGGGACUUAAUCACCCAAACACUUCCCCAAGAGUGGCAUCUGCUGACCACUGGAGGCACUGGUACAGUGAAGCGACAGAAGGGAUCAGAGAGGGUCCAGGUGGAGCACAGCAAUGUGGCUGAAUAAUAACUAUAUUAAUUCAUAUAGUUAAUUCUCAAGCAAUGGCAAAGUGUAGGCAGCUUCUUGUCUGCAAACGUUUCCAUGAUAUCUCUCCUGCAGCCAGACGGGUCUUUUCCUGCCGCCUACACAGAAUGGCCAUGGAGCAUCCCCAACUCUUAUUAAAAUGGAAAAAAAAAAAGCCUUUGCAUUUCAAUCUAUUAUUGCACUUUAUGACUCAUCUUCAGGUUCUCUCUGCAAAACAUUGAAAGCCAGAUCAUAAUUUGAUGAUGAAAUAUUGAUUAUGCAUUUGUAUGCAGAGGUCUAUACUAUAUAGAUAGAAUUCCCACCCUGUAGUAUCUUCUAUUUUAAGUCAGUAUGAAGAUGGAUGUUCCCCCCAGGCAAAUUUUGAUAAGAUACUUGUGUCAAUACAAAAAGAGAUUAAUGCCAAUGUGAAUCAAUACCCGCUUAUUGGUUUGGGUUGCUUCUUCUCCACGCAGCAGCUGGCACCAAGAGGGGUUUCCAAACACCAGCGGCUCCCAGCCAAUCUGCAUAUUUCUUUAUUUAAAUCAUGAGAGUGGGAAGUGGCAAGGGAAUGGUGGGUUGGCAGGGGGCUGCCCACGCCCACUCCCAAAUUGAGAAGGGAAUGAAAAUAAAACAAACGCAACUUGUCAACAAAUCUGGGAGAAGCUUUAUUACCAUCAUUAGCAGUGUGCUUGUCCUCUGCUGCUUCCAAAAAGAAUAAACUUCAAAUGAC
rnacentral:lncRNA from 10 species